AUUGAACGCUGGCGGCAUGAUUUACACAUGCAAGUCGAACGGUAACAGGCCGCAAGGUGCUGACGAGUGGCGAACGGGUGAGUAAUGCAUCGGAACGUGCCCAGUCGUGGGGGAUAACUACUCGAAAGAGUAGCUAAUACCGCAUACGAUCUAUGGAUGAAAGCGGGGGACCGUAAGGCCUCGCGCGAUUGGAGAGGCCGAUGUCAGAUUAGGUAGUUGGUGGGGUAAAGGCUCACCAAGCCAACGAUCUGUAGCUGGUCUGAGAGGACGACCAGCCACACUGGGACUGAGACACGGCCCAGACUCCUACGGGAGGCAGCAGUGGGGAAUUUUGGACAAUGGGCGCAAGCCUGAUCCAGCAAUGCCGCGUGCAGGAAGAAGGCCUUCGGGUUGUAAACUGCUUUUGUACGGAACGAAACGGCUCUGGUUAAUACCCGGGGCUAAUGACGGUACCGUAAGAAUAAGCACCGGCUAACUACGUG
rnacentral:rRNA from 1 species